rfam:Sarcophilus harrisii ctg7180002490952, whole genome shotgun sequence.
UCAAAGGCUCUUUUCAGAGCCGCCCACGCUUUCAAAAAAAGAGCUG